AUUGGAAGAGUUUGUAUGCUGAGAAGAGUUAGAAGGGAGAUGAAGAGUAAAACAUGGCAAACAUGUAUUGGACAGUAUUUAUAGCUCGACAAAGGGAUCAGGAGCUCUGGAGCUAUAAUAUGAAACACAUGCUUUUAAACAUCAUGGAGUAGGCAAAAAUGUUCAGAGCAGAAAAAAAGGGGAAUAUCCUGAAGACAUAAAGUCAAGCUUCAAUUCUGGUUAAAAGAUGAAAUCAACUGAGCGCUGUACCUACUGUGGUUGAGUGAAGGUCCCAACUUUGGGGGUUUAGUUUCUUGAAAUCAGUCGAUGUUGUGUGUACUCCAGUCAUGGUUCCCAAAGCGUGAUAUCAACGAAGCGGCCUCUGCUAUUGUGCACGACGCGAUUCUGUCACACAUAUGGUCCCUUCGAAGACUUAUGUUCACACUACCAGGCCCCCUACAUAUCAUCUACUACGGAUGUCUUUUAAAUGUCCUCCGCAAGUGACAAGCAGUUCAGACGACCAAUGUUGCGUGAACUGCUAUGAUGAUCUUAAGAUGCUGGCAGGCUGUACAUCACAUAAAAACGAACAAACUAAGACUGAUGGUUAACAUAAUGUUCAUUUGAUUAUCAUGCCGUGCUAUGUUUUCAUGUAUUAGAUUUAAUAUCUUAUCUGCUUAAAAGAAUUGUGUUAUCAUUUAGACAUCAAGCUUCGUAAACUCGACAUUUUCAAUAGCUGUGGGCUAAACAAGUUUUCGCCAUAUUUCAGUCACCGUUUAUCUUGUUGUCAUUAUAUCUGGUGGUUCAGACGAAUACACAAUCUUACGUUCCGUUAAAUAUAACAAAAGGCGUGGUUAGUCACUGUAAAUGCAUCAAAACUGUCCGAAGAAAUAGCUAAAGAAAUUGUGCCAAAUACUGGCAAAUUUUUAAAA